UAUGCAGCCAUAGAAAAGAAUGAGAUCUUGCUAUCUGCAACAACAUGGAUGGAUCUAGAUGGUAUAAAGCUAAGUAUAAUAAGUCAGUCAGAGAAAGACAAAUACCAUAUGAUUUCACUCAUGUGUGGAAUUUAAGAAAACAAAAGAAUAUAAAAAGAAAUGAACUAAAAACCAGAUUCUUAAAUACAGAGAAUAAACUGGUGGUUGACAGAAAGGAGGGGGAUGGGUGAAACAGGUGAGGGGGAUUAAAGGUACACUUAUCACGAUGAGCACUGAGUAAUGUAUAAACUUGUUGAAUCAUUAUAUUGUACACCUGAAACCAACAGGACACUGAAUGUUAAUUACAUUUGAAUUAAAAUAAAUAAAUAAAAAUUAAAAAAAAAUAAACUUAUGUAUGAAUGUUGCCUUCGUGCCUGGCAACCCAGCAAACAGCAUGUGCUUAGAACAUAAUGAGCAGUAUCAACUCGUUUUAUUGGGAAAAGCAAUGUUCUUUCUCUAAAUUUAACUCAUAGUCCAGAUAUAAGAUUCCAUGAGUCUAGGGGCACCUGGGUGGAUCAGCCGGUUAAGCAUCUGAUUUCGGCUGGUCAUGAUCUUGUGGUUUGUGAGUUCGAGCCCUGCACUGGGCUGUGCUGACAGUUCAGAGCCUGGAGCCUGCUUCAGAUUCUGUGUCCCUCUCUCUCUGCCCCGCCCCGGCUUGCACUGUGUCUAUCUCUCCCAAAAAUAAAUAAAACAUUUAAAAAAAAAUCCAUGAGUCUAAAAUUGGCUGACAGAGACACUUUUUUUAAACCACAUUCUCUGUCUGAAACCACUUCUGUAUGGGGUGGCCAUGGCAAAGCUCGAUUCAGUGACAGGGCAGUAUGCAUCGCUGAAUGGCUCCUUUUCUGAAUUUUCACCAGUGAGGGAAGCUCGUUCUACUCUGCUUUGCAUUUAUCUAUCACAUCUAGAUACCCUAUUCUACUACCCCACCCCUCCCCCAAGAGAAGAGCAUCUCUAGACCAAAGAGAAUUAUUUUCUGUCUAUAAAGAAUGUACAAUGAAGUAGAAAUACAAAAUGCAGGUGGUAUUUUACUAUGGCAUUUGGAAAAAUCUGUUAACUAUGUUGACUUUUAUCACAUUCCUGUGAGCCUGGAAAACAGUGAAGGGGAAGAAAUCCUCCGUUCUGGAGUACAGCUUAACCGCCAGAAACACUCUUCUCUAGAUAACUUGGGAGGAAGAUAGAAUCAGGAUGCUUGUCGGUGGUCUAAGGGAAACGUCACAGGAUAAAGUCAGCAACGUGAUGCUCUUGCUUAAGGAGCAAAUGCCAUUAGUGACAUUCAGAAGUAAGCUGAGGAUAUUUAGGCAUGGCUGUCUUCAUUCUUCAAUAAUUUUGUGUUAGCACCAGAAAAAUACAAGGCAUCAUUUUCAAGUGUAUUUUUAUCCAAUUAUAUGGCUUUGCCAUGGA